rnacentral:lncRNA from 10 species
CACCUCGAUGUCUGGCUUCUAGCCUCCAGAUCUGUAAGACAGUAGAUUUCCAUUGUUUAAGCCACUGGGUUUAUGAUACUGUGUUACAGUAGCCCUAGCAAACCAGAGCUAUCCCAAUUCUUUAUUCCUCUGAGCCAGGCAAUGUGGUUCCAAGUCCCUACCUUGAAUUUUGUUUUGGUAGGGCCUUCACGUCCUUAGAGACACUCAAGAGCCUUGGAACCUUUCCUGGUCGGCAUUGCACAGGGGCUCUGGUCUUCAAUCCACCUCGACAUUGUGUUCCCAGCCCCGCUCCUCUAGUCUGUAAAGUCAGACAGCAGUUACUUUAAUACUGAGACAGCCUGAGAAGGGUCUUGCCAACCAGGGACCCCUGGUGUACCAGGCCAUGUACAUCCUGCACACCAAGAUGCCAUAAGGGUGUCACAGGACUUGUCCCUCUGAGGUUCCAUCCACCCCAGAGAGGAUGCUGAGCACAGGCCCUCAACUUUUGGUAGCCCCAGACCCCCAUUCUUUCAGUUGGAGACCCG